GCCGGGCACAGUGGCUUGUGCCUGUAAUCCCAGCACUUUGGGAGGCUGAGGUGGGUGAAUCACUUGAGGUCAGGAGUUGAAGACCAGCCUGGCCAACAUGGUGAAACCCCAUCUUUA
rfam:Pan troglodytes isolate Yerkes chimp pedigree #C0471 (Clint) chromosome 8, whole genome shotgun sequence.